UGCGUAGGCGGUUAGAUAAGUCAGAGGUGAAAGCCUGCAGCUCAACUGUGGAAUUGCCUUUGAUACUGUUUGACUUGAAUCAAGUUGAGGUUGGCGGAAUGUGACAUGUAGCGGUGAAAUGCAUAGAUAUGUCAUAGAACACCAAUUGCGAAGGCAGCUAACUAGACUUGUAUUGACGCUGAGGCACGAAAGCGUGGGGAGCGAACAGGAUUAGAUACCCUGGUAGUCC
rnacentral:rRNA from 1 species